AAUGAAGGAAAUGUUUAUUUCCCCCCCACUAUUAUGUCUCCAAUGUAGGUCUGAUGACCAUGCAUGGAGAACUGGGUAUGUUCUCCCUCCGUAGGACCAGUUUCAACAGUUAAGGUCUGCUGACCACGAAGCGCAUGACCUAGAAUACAUCAGGUGGACCAGUUACAACAGCCAAGUAAUGUUGUUGGGAUACUCACUGACAAUGAUGUGGCCAUGGUGGACCAGAUCAGACAUACAAGGUAGAUGUCCACUCGCUGAUGGACCAUUUGCAAGUUACACAAUAAUUAUUAGCCCAUUUUUGUACAAACAAUACUUAAUGUUUGUCCUAUGCGGUGGAAAUUGUAUAUCUGCUGUUUUUGUCUACCGUUUCUUCUACCACGAUCCUAGUCGAUGGACAUGUAUUCUUGU